GAUUUUGUGGCGAUCAUGAAGAGUAGUAAAGCCGUAAACGCUGAAAAGUCCCGCGUUUUUUUUAAUUAUUCUUUAAGAGUGGAGUUUUUUUUUUUUUUUAAAUACAUAAAUACAGGAUUUCGAAUCUAAAUUUUAUAUUUAGAUAAUCGAAUUAUAUGUCUUCAUAAUUCAUACUAUUAAACUCUUAACUUUUAAGAGUAGAGUUUAUUGUUAUAAAAUUAAAUUUUUAUAUUAAUCUUAUAUUUAUUAUUAUUUUUGAAAUAAUAUACUAUAUUUAGAUGAAAGGAAAUAUAGUUUAAGUAAUAAUUUCCUACCAAAACAAUAGAAAAAGUUGGAUAUGUUUACUUUGGUAGCAGGGGCACUUUGGCGAACGUGUUGAAUAUUCUUUUGUAUAAAAAUCCUGUCCAAACUACCAUCUAUGAUCUAUCUUUUCCCUCGAAUUUCUCUCUUUCUGCUUCUCACCCUCUUCUCUCUGUCACGCUACUCUUCCCGCUUCACCAUUUUCUCUCCGUUCCUGUGUCCAGAAACUUGUGCUUCCGUUUCCUUGAUGGUUCCCGUAUUCUACUGGUUCCCUCUUCUCUCCGUCGUGCUUCUUGUUUUUCAUACUCGCCUCUCUCGAACACAUCCAUGGCACAGACCAUAUUUUUGAGGUUAGACUUCUCCAAGCCUCUGCAACCUCUUCCUCAAGCUUUGCAAUUACUGUCAUUAAUCAGAUGCGAUCAGAUUCUCCUUUUAGAUCCUUUAAAACAUCUUGGUCAGUUAGCACACACAGACAUACAUACUGAUGCAGGUUCAUGCUAUGGUCUUUUAGAACUUCAGGUCAUGAUCAUUGGAGAUACAAGCAUGUAGCAUGUAGGGUCAUCAUGCAGAGUCAUCAUCAUUGGUUGUUGUUGCUUGUAAGAGACUUUAUGUCAUUAUUGGUGAAAGCCAUCGCUUUUAUAUUUUUCAUUGGUACCCCUUUUCUUUCAGAGUAAUUAUUGUAACUUAAAAUCUACAUGGCUUGGACCAUUCAAUUAGUUCAGAAAAUUGCAGCGAAAAGACUAGCAAGAGCAGCCCCUUCAAAGCCACGUGGGAUGAAUCUACUGAACUCAUGCCCAUUUCUUAUUAUUUCAAGUUAGGAUUUUUUAUGCUGGCAAAAAGAUUAGCAAUGGCAGAUUUUUUAUGAUGGAGUUAUUAUUUUUUAA